CAAGCAGCGACUAACUGCUGCUGCUGGAGAAAUAUUCACCGUGUUUCAACAAACUAUCGUCCAGUUCGAGGAGGAGAUUUAUUGACAGAGAAAACUUCUGGAAAUCAACUGGAAAUCUCAAGUCAGCUUCCACAGAACAGAGAGUCCACAGCAACACAAUGGUAACCAGCAGACGAGCUCCAACCACUCUGUGAGAGACUUGACCACCCAGAGACUAACUGCUGCUGCUGAGGAAAUAUUCACCCUGUUUCAACCAACU